rfam:TPA: Bos taurus chromosome 3, whole genome shotgun sequence.
UCCCUGGUGGCUCAGAUGGUAAAAGCAUCUGCCUACAAUGCAGGAGACCUGGGUUUGAUCCCUGGGUUGGGAA